rnacentral:rRNA from 1 species
GAUGAACGCUGGCGGCGUGCCUAAUACAUGCAAGUCGAGCGAACAGACGCGGAGGUUUCUCCUCUGACGUUAGCGGCGGACGUGUGAGUAAUACGUGGUUAACCUCCCUAUAAGACUGGGAUAACUUCGGGAAACCGGUGCUACUACUGGUUAAUAUAUUGAACCGCAUUGUUCUUUAGUCAAAGACGGUUUUGCUGUCACUUAUAGUUGGAUACGCGCCGCAUUAGCUAGUUGGUCAGGUAACGGCUUACCAAGGCAACGAUUCGUAGCCGACCCGCGAGGGUAAGCGUCCACACUGUAACUGGAACACGGUCCAGACUCCAACGCUAGGCAACGGAAGAGAGUGUACCGCAAUGCGCGAGAGGCUGGCGGAACAACGCCGCGUCAGUGAUGAGAGUCAGCGGAUCGUAAAUCUCUACUAUUAGUGAAGAACAAAUGUGUAAGUAACUAUGCGCUUCUUGACGGUACCUAAAGAGAAAGCCUCGGCUAACUACGUG